UGGGGAAUCUUGCACAAUGGGCGAAAGCCUGAUGCAGCGACGCCGCGUGCGGGAUGAAGGCCUUCGGGUUGUAAACCGCUUUCAGCAGGGACGAGGCCGCAAGGUGACGGUACCUGCAGAAGAAGCCCCGGCUAACUACGUGCCAGCAGCCGCGGUAAUACGUAGGGGGCAAGCGUUAUCCGGAUUCAUUGGGCGUAAAGCGCGCGUAGGCGGUUUGUUAGGUCAGGAGUUAAAUCUGGGGGCUCAACCCCUAUCCGCUCCUGAUACCGGCAGGCUUGAGUCUGGUAGGGGAAGGCGGAAGUCCAAGUGUAGCGGUGAAAUGCGCAGAUAUUUGGAAGAACACCGGUGGCGAAGGCGGCCUUCUGGGCCACGACUGACGCUGAGGCGCGAAAGCUAGGGGAGCGAACAGG
rnacentral:rRNA from 1 species